AUUGAACGCUGGCGGCAUGCCUUACACAUGCAAGUCGAACGGUAACAGGUCUUCGGGUGCUGACGAGUGGCGAACGGGUGAGUAAUACAUCGGAACGUGCCUAGUAGUGGGGGAUAACUACUCGAAAGAGUGGCUAAUACCGCAUGAGAUCUACGGAUGAAAGCAGGGGAUCGCAAGACCUUGUGCUACUAGAGCGGCCGAUGGCAGAUUAGGUAGUUGGGGGGAUAAAAGCUUACCAAGCCGACGAUCUGUAGCUGGUCUGAGAGGACGAUCAGCCACACUGGGACUGAGACACGGCCCAGACUCCUACGGGAGGCAGCAGUGGGGAAUUUUGGACAAUGGGCGCGAGCCUGAUCCAGCAAUGCCGCGUGCAGGAUGAAGGCCUUCGGGUUGUAAACUGCUUUUGUACGGAACGAAAAGCCCUGGGUUAAUACCCUGGGGUCAUGACGGUACCGUAAGAAUAAGCACCGGCUAACUACGUGCCAGCCGCCGCGGUAAAAC
rnacentral:rRNA from 1 species